GGCGCUUUCGGUUUUGGCUGGGAUCAUCCGCGGCGGCCGGGCUCGUGGGGCGCUUGGAGUGAGGGUUCUGGUUCCCGCCGGCGAGGAUUGUUAAAAUGAGUCUUCGGAAGCAAACCCCUAGUGACUUCUUAAAGCAAAUCAUCGGACGACCAGUUGUGGUAAAAUUAAAUUCUGGAGUGGAUUAUCGAGGUAAUAUUUUCAUGUUUCAACCUCACUGGUAUAACUGAAUAAGUAAAUGUGACUUACUGAUAUUUAUUAACCUCUUAAGUAUACCCAAUAGGCCAAAAAAGUACUGGUCAUCAGUAGUUUUUAUGCAUAUAUCUUUUUCUAUCUCUGAGAUCAUUCCUUUUAGAAGGACAACUCUGACAGUAUAGCAUGUGCUUCUGCCUUUCAGUGUGAUUUGUGUGACUUCUGUCUCCUGUCUGCUUCGAGAUCAUAUGUGCCUAAAUUCCCUGGUAAUAGCUAGGUAUUCCUAGUGAACUCAGGUAUGAACAACACAACUGAAGAACAUCUUGGUGCAGCAGCAUUUGUUUUUGCAGGAAUAUUCAAGAUUGGCAAGCAGCUGUUGAGUAUCAUUUUACAACCUGAAUGUCCCACUCAUAUAACGUAUAAUGUGUGUGGCAACAGGGUGAGACUCUGUCUCAAAAAAAAAAAAUGCCUUUCUGUUCUUGGAGAGAAUAUUAUUUUUAAGAGGCUGCAAUGCUUUUGAAAUUAACUUUAUAGGAAGAAUGGUUUUAAAUUCCAUUUUUUAAAGUUACUGAAUUUCUUAUCUUCCAAGCUAAGGUAUGUUAAGUUACCUGAAAUAUUUGGCAGGUGUAA
rnacentral:sRNA from 1 species